UAAGCCUUUCGCCUUUGAGCUUUCCACCAGCCAAGAUACCAUGUAUUUUAUCGCCGAUUCCGAGAAGGAGAAGGAGGAGUGGAUCAAUUCGAUUGGAAGGUCCAUUGUGCAGCACUCAAGGUCUGUCACUGAUUCCGAGGUUGUUGAUUAUGAUAGCAAGCGGUAAUUUUGAAGAUAUUUGCUUCUGUUUGUCGUAUAAAAUAGCACUCUGCUUCUUGUUGUACUCGUUGUUGUUUGGUGUUAUAUAUUCUGCGUGUGUUUGUUUUAUGAUUGUAAUUAUGGUCUGUCUUGUUUUGCUUUCUUUAAAUGGAAGGCUAUUUGGUUAUUUAUCGCUUUUUGGGUUUUCUUGCGUGAUUUUGCUGUUCGUUGAGGAUUGCUCUGAUACCAUUUGCAUUUCCUUCAUUUGAUUCGGG
rnacentral:misc_RNA from 1 species